GGAAAAUAUAAUCCACGAACUUGAGCCAAAAAGAAAGUGAUUAUCAACGACUUGGAGUUUCAAAUUUUAAACCGUGGGACUACUCCCUGACUAUUCUCUCUCCCCUUGUUUACCGUUAAAACUUCAAUUCAAACGACAGAGACCCCAGCCCAGAAGCCACUGCAAUGGAAGUGUCGAUCAAAGCUGAAGAAUGUCUAUCUACAUCCCUUUUUAUUGAGCUGAGUGGGUUUGCUGUUUUCAAAAGGGCAUGCAAAGCUAUUUCAAUUGAGGGGAAAGAUUUUGUUGAGCUAGGCUAAAGCAACAAAGAUACAAAGUGACAAGUAGCCACCUGGAAUUGGCCAAUAAGAAGAGAAAACUUGAAAGCUACGAAGUCAAAACUGUUCGGGGAUGAUUUAGCCUCAGCUUUGCAGCUUUGCGCCUUUAAAG
rnacentral:misc_RNA from 1 species